rnacentral:rRNA from 1 species
UACGGGGGGGGCAAGCGUUGUUCGGAAUUACUGGGCGUAAAGGGCUCGUAGGCGGCCAACUAAGUCAGACGUGAAAUCCCUCGGCUUAACCGGGGAACUGCGUCUGAUACUGGAUGGCUUGAGUUUGGGAGAGGGACGCGGAAUUCCAGGUGUAGCGGUGAAAUGCGUAGAUAUCGGGAGGAAUACCUAUGGCGAAAGCAGGCUACUGGACCAUCACUGACGCUGAUCUGCGAAAGCUAGGGGAGCAAACAGG